rnacentral:rRNA from 1 species
UGGGGAAUUUUGGACAAUGGGCGAAAGCCUGAUCCAGCCAUGCCGCGUGAGUGAAGAAGGCCUUCGGGUUGUAAAGCUCUUUUAGUCGGAAAGAAAGAGUUGCAAUGAAUAAUUGUGAUUUAUGACGGUACCGACAGAAAAAGCACCGGCUAAAUACGUGCCAGCAGCCGCGGUAAUACGUAGGGUGCGAGCGUUAAUCGGAUUUACUGGGCGUAAAGGGAGCGUAGGCGGCGCGGUAAGUCACUUGUGAAAUCUCUGAGCUUAACUCAGAACGGUCAAGUGGUACUGCUGUGCUCGAGUGCGGAAGAGGCAACCGGAAUUCUUGGUGUCGCGGUGAAAUGCGUAGAUAUCAAGAGGAACACCUGAGGCGAAGGCGGGUUGCUGGGCCGACACUGACGCAGAUGCGCGAAAGCCAGGGGAGCAAACG